rnacentral:rRNA from 1 species
UACAGAGGGGGCAAGCGUUGUUCGGAAUUACUGGGCGUAAAGGGCGCGCAGGCGGCCUGCUAAGUCGAACGUGAAAUCCCUGGGCUCAACCCAGGAACUGCGUCCGAUACUGGUUGGCUUGAAUCCGGGAGAGGGAUGUGGAAUUCCAGGUGUAGCGGUGAAAUGCGUAGAUAUCUGGAGGAACACCGGUGGCGAAGGCGGCAUCCUGGACCGGUAUUGACGCUGAGGCGCGAAAGCCGGGGGAGCAAACGGG